GAAGGGAUAGCUCAGUGGUAGAGUUUCUACUUAGCAUGCAUGAGGUCCUGGGUUCGAUCCCCAGUACCUCCA
rnacentral:tRNA from 1 species